AUUGAACGCUGGCGGCAGGCCUAACACAUGCAAGUCGAGCGAGCGGCGGACGGGUGAGUAAUGUCUGGGAAACUGCCUGUUGGAGGGGGAUAACUGCUGGAAACGGUAGCUAAUACCGCAUACCAUCAGAUGUGCCCAGAUGGGAUUAGCUAGUCUGUGGGGUAACGGCUCACCUAGGCGACGACCCCUAGCUGGUCUGAGAGGAUGACCCGCCACACUGGAACUGAGACACGGUCCAGACUCCUACGGGAGGCAGCAGUGGGGAAUAUUGCACAAUGGGCGAAAGCCUGAUGCAGCAAUGCCGCGUGUGUGAAGAAGGCCUUCGGGUUGUAAAGCACUGUCAGUGGGGAGGCGUUACCCACACAAGAAGCACCGGCUAACUCCGUGCCAGCAGCCGCGGUAAUUC
rnacentral:rRNA from 1 species